UGGGGAAUAUUGGACAAUGGGCGCAAGCCUGAUCCAGCCAUACCGCGUGGGUGAAGAAGGCCUUCGGGUUGUAAAGCCCUUUUGUUGGGAAAGAAAAGCAUUCGGUUAAUACCCGAUUGUUCUGACGGUACCCAAAGAAUAAGCACCGGCUAACUUCGUGCCAGCAGCCGCGGUAAUACGAAGGGUGCAAGCGUUACUCGGAAUUACUGGGCGUAAAGCGUGCGUAGGUGGUUGUUUAAGUCUGUCGUGAAAGCCCUGGGCUCAACCUGGGAAUUGCGAUGGAAACUGGGCGACUAGAGUGUGGCAGAGGGUAGUGGAAUUCCUGGUGUAGCAGUGAAAUGCGUAGAGAUCAGGAGGAACAUCCGUGGCGAAGGCGACUGCCUGGGCCAACACUGACACUGAGGCACGAAAGCGUGGGGAGCAAACAGGAUUAGAUACCCUGGUAGUCCACGCCCUAAACGAUGCGAACUGGAUGUUGGGUGCAAUUUGGCACGCAGUAUCGAAGCUAACGCGUUAAGUUCGCCGCCUGGGGAGUACGGUCGCAAGACUGAAACUCAAAUGAAUUGACGGGGUCAUAGCUGUUUCC
rnacentral:rRNA from 1 species